CCAGUUCAGCGCAAACCACGCCCCCUACGCGAAAACCCCACCCCGCAGCUGUGACACGCGCGAUUUCAUUGGGCAACGUUGUUACUUGUCGUCUGAGAAAGAAGUUCAGAGUUAACAUCAAUCAAGUUCGUCUCUAAUGGAUCUAUCGUUGACAAACGGAGAGUACGAUUGUAGUCCCAAAGACCAAGCUGCGGGUCUAAAGGCUCAUUACAGGUGCCAGCACAAUGUUCAUGUUCGAUCAGGCAUGGCUAGUCAACAACGGCUGUCCAAAAACAUGCUGUGGGGCAAAAAUGGUUUGCACUUUGGUAAAGACUGUAGACAAAAGGGGAGGAUCAAGUAGGAACAAUGAACCCCAUAUUCCCACUUACUCAACCUCUGUGCGCUUGUAAAAUGUGCAUUGAGGCACAAGGUUGUAGGGGUCACUGUAGUUGCCACCACCGCAAGAGUUAACUCUGUUGAGAUGCCACCAUGUCAGAGCCUGAGCUGCCAGUUGCCACCAGAGCUAUUGAUGCCAGAUUCACAAGAGUUAUUGUCAACAGAACCGCUUACAAAGCCUCAACCACAUUCAGACCCAUUCCAGCAAAACUGCCAGAGCCCGUGGUGCUAGAGCUGGCAGAUCUGCUGCUGCCAUAGCCAACGGUUCCAGAGCCACCGAUGCCACCACCUGAGCUCCAAGAUUGGCCACCUCUGCUAGAACCAACUAACCUAUAAGAGCCACUCUACCUAUUUCUAAAGUGAGGACAAUUUAUGCUUUAUAAAUCUCUAAUAAAUGACAAUUCAAGGCUCAGUGUCAAAUGAACAGUACACCUUUGUAAUCCUAUCUAAAAAUAAAAUUACUGUAAAGUUUAAACAUUGCCGAAUAACAGGAGUGUCAAAAUAUGACAUAAAAUUGGAUAAAAAAACAACAACAAUAUAAUAUUUAACAAUAUAUUAUGAUACAAAAUUAUAAUGUUAUUUAGCGAAGUUUAAACUGUACGGUAACUUUAUUUUAGUUAAGAUUGCAAAAAUGUAUUUUUCAUUUGAUGCAGAUUCAUUUAUUUAUCUUCAAAUGAUAAGAAAUAAAUCAAGUCGUGUUUUUUUCCCCUGUUUAGAAGAUAACUGAGCCUUUAAUUGUUAUUUA